rnacentral:rRNA from 1 species
AGUUCGGAUUGCAGUCUGCAACUCGACUGCAUGAAGCUGGAAUCGCUAGUAAUCGUGAAUCAGAAUGUCACGGUGAAUACGUUCCCGGGUCUUGUACACACCGCCCGUCACACCAUGGGAGUCGGAUAUGCCCGAAGUCAGUGACCCAACCGCAAGGAGGGAGCUGCCGAAGGUGGAGCCGAUGACUGGGGUGAAGUCGUAACAAGGUACC